rnacentral:sRNA from 1 species
UGAUUCUAUUAUUAAAGCUACCUGUGC